AAUUUUAACAUUGAUGCAUUUAAGGCUUAUCAAUACAUGCAUAACUUUGUUAAUUACAAUAAUGUGACAGAGGCAUCUGCUAUCGUUAUCAAAUUACCUAGCCCGUUUGUUUUCUUUACAUUUAUUAUUUUUAUUGAAGAAUUUUAUCUGAUUCCCAGGUGGCUCCUCUGUUAAGGAAUCAAAACAAAGAUGGCGUCCCGCUAGCUACCUGGACAGAAAACAGAAUCGCAACUUGGGAAAACAGUUAAAAAUCUUUUUUUUUCAUGUGGCGGACUAUAUGUGUAUUAUCCAGACGGUUAGAAGAGUCUCUGGGGAUGUUGAAAAUACAUUCAGAGUAGCGCGACAACAGACAGAUGGGGAAUAACACGCCACAAAAGUCCCUGGCCCUGCUAGAUGCUUCAUUUGCUGGUUAUCCUUCCUGUCCCCUCUCUUGUGUCUCUCUGUUGGAGGUGUCCAGGACUAUUAACAGCAGCUCUGCUCUCCAGGUCAAGGGUUGCCACUUAGCCCGAGGGAAGAAAAGCACAUGUGACACUGGAUCCUGGCAGAGCUAAUGUCAUUACUCAAGCAGACGACCCCCUCCCUUUGUUACCCUCAGACCUGCUGGAGGUUCAGAAACCCACUUCCUGGUACUUCUCAUCUCAAGGUGCUUCUAUCACACACCACACAAACAGGAAACAGUUCUCUUUCAUGUCCCUCAAACUGCAUGCAGUAUAAGUUCUUCUGAAAGGCUAUAGCAAGAAAGGAAGUUGCACACGAGCCGUACUCACCUGGUUUAAUUUGAGAUGUGGAGACUUUAGCCUUUGAAUAUGUUUUCUUCUCUUCUUACUUUAUUAAAACCUAAAAUGCAGAAAAGUCUCAAAGUGGGAACCUUUCAUCUUGCCAUCAUAUAGAUUUGCAUACAAAAUAUGUUACACCACAUAAGGAAAUAGUCCUAUAUAGUUUUUGUCAGCCAAAAUUGACAUGGAGAUGAUAAGCAAUUCUCAAUAACAUUUUGAUAAAGUUAUGAAGUAUUAAGCUGAUAAAAUAGUGUUCAAUCCCACACAGAACAUCCAACCCUGCUCUUUGCUCUGACUAAACAUGAACCCCAGCCGUGAGGCCUUUGUUGCCUUUGCACAUGCAGUGGCCCCCUGAAUUUGUAAUUACUGUAUGUCAAUAGCAUCACAACCUACGAGUACAUUUGUAUAACCUUCUGUUGUAUUUUGGCUUCUGCUGCCAAGUUUGUUGUUGAUUCAUGCUUUAAAAUGAAAUUAUUUAAUUUGUAGUUCACCCUGGAUACUAUUACUUUCGGUUUUGUCACCCAGAUGUGGGAUUUUUUACUUACUCCUUUUGUGUGACACAGAAUGAAACAAUAUGAGGUAGUGAGUAAUCAUCCAAAAACUAGUCAUAACCACCUGUGAAUAUUAAAAUACAGACAAU